CACUGUACAUUUUCAGGGAUCAUUUCUGUAGUUUGUUAUAGGAGAAGUUUCUCUGAUCACGUAGAGCACCCCUGGGAACCCCGGGCAGGCACAGCGUUCUCUCCCGAGCGUGAAGACGCCUCUUGGUGUCGCUUUGCGCAACUGAUAUUUGCCAUUGAUGCUCGUUCUUGCUUUUUUUUUUUGUGGGAGCAAGAGGGAGAGGAAGCAAUCUGAGUGGU
rnacentral:snoRNA from 1 species